UAUAUUGUAUAUUUCACGUUAAAUACGUCGAGUCUCGUCCGAUCGCUGAAGGUAAGCAACGUCGGGCCUAGUUGGUAUUCAGAUGGGUGACCCCUUGAGAAACCUAAAUACUGUAAGC
rnacentral:rRNA from 1 species